UCAAAUAAUCUCUCGAUCUUCUUAGCUUAAUCAAAGUUCGGCAACAAUAACUAGACAUGGGUCGGGCUUCAAUAGGAGGGGGGGGGGGGGGGUCACGGCUUCGAUGCACCUUUGAAACGUUCGGAUACAAUGAAGAAGCAAGCAAGCAGCAACACGACGCCGGUAAAAGUUAAUGCCAUUGUCAAAUACGGAUUGGAGAGAGGGGAAAGUUGCUGCAAAGCGAAGUGACACAAAGUGGCCAUGUCGCAGAGUUAGCAACUUGCAGCCGGCUUUAAAAACUCGGCGCGGUGCAAAGACAACGAAGUGAACGACUUCUAAUGGUGGUGACAGGGUGGGCAUUGUUCUUCGGGGCUGGCGGGCGGCGGAGAUAGCGGGACCCCCGCCGCUUUGAUGGAUUAACAUCGAAUUUCACAUGCACGCACGAAAUCCGAGUUUCUUCCUGGACAGCGAGAAUUCAAAGAAACAAUCAAGGGAUUGAAUUGCUGCGGGAGGAACCGGGAAGACAGCGAGUGGGCAACAGGGACACCAGGGUGUUCUCAAUCAGAGCGCUGCACGAUGUCGGGCACAAGCAGCACACACCAUCUCUGUUUGCAGAGGAUAGAUAGGACAUGGUGUGUUCUACCAUUCACCAUUCAUUUUCCGCUUGGAAGAUUACAUUCUUCCCCCGCUAUGCAUUAGAAACGUUUAAUUAUAGGAUUUGCAGCUCAACGCUGUUAACUCUCUAAAUUUUCGGGUUAUUUAAGUGAGCGCAUUGGAAACGUAACAACCAUUUUGCCUGAGAUCCCCCGGGAAAUAACUUAUAGCCCCGUCACUUUCAGAAGCGUGAUCAGUGCAAAAAAGGGCAUCAAAAGUUACGGGAAGAAGUCGGGAGAAUGGGGUUGAGAGGUGGAAAUAGAUCAUCCAUGAUUGAAUGGUAGUGUGGACUCGAUGGGCCGAAUGGCCUAAUUCUGCUGCUAUGUCUAAUAAUGCAACGUUAAUGGUUAUAUAGGAUUGGCAGAUUCUUGAAUAGUGCGGGUGUCAGGGGAUAUGGGAGAAGGCAGGAUAAUGGGGUUAGGAUCAGUCAUGAUUGAAGGGCGGAAUGGCCUAAUUAUGCAGCUUGAACUUAUGUCCAAAAGUUAACUCUACUUCUCUCUCCAUGCAUGCUGCUCGGCUUGCUGGGUAUUUUCAACUUUUACUGUUUUAUUAAUAUUAAUAUUAUGUAAAGCUAUACAUUGUUGUUAUAGUUGGUAUGUUUGAUGUGUAAUAUAUAAUACACACUCACGCACUGUGUUAACGUUGAACGGGAGAUCGCCCAUUAACAAGGGACCAGAUUCUUAUGCUAACAGCUCCCAUUCUACGCGGCACUGGCCAUAAAUCUGGCAACGUCAAAUUAAAAUUAUUAAGGCAAGUACAGAUCUGCAAACACGCGAGUUCUGCCGCAUCUCUGCGUCUCCCUCGGGUGACAAAGUUGAAUUCCUCGCAAGCGACCAACUUUUCCUCAAACUCUCACCAAACUUUCAACUUUCCCCGUAGGACUGGCCCGGGUCGCAAGCACUGGGACUGCUGAAAUUAUGAGGCAAAGCUCCCACCCGCCAACACUGAAGGAUCACAGCAAUGAAGGAGGAAAUGCUAUCCUGGCCUGGAUCUCACAGGAAACCAAUGAAGGGAGGAAGAAAAAAGAUUGAGUGGGUUAAAGUGUUUGAUCAGCAGCUUUGGGGAUGAUUGUCAUAGGAGACAGUAAGACUGGAGGCUGACUCUUGGGAGUGCACAUGACUUCAACAGAGGUGCAGUUAAGGACAUGUGUGAUAUGUAUCUAUUAUGUCAGGUUAAAAUUAUGAAAGAUAAGUGCACCAAAUGAUGGCCUUUCCUCAAGUAGGAAUCAACAAUUUCAGAAGGCCGAGAAGAAAGAUACGUAUCAACCUUAUUGUAAGAUUCAGCAGUAAUCGGUAUUUUGCUUUAUCCCAUUUGCUAGUUUCGUAUGGAGGUUUUUGCUGUGCUUCUAUAUCAUAUCAUAUGUCAGAUUUUAAUAGUGUUUAAUGGGUUUUAAGUAAGGGAAUGUGCAUUUAGAAACAUAGAAAAAAAGACAAUAUGCGCAGUAGGCCAUUCAGCACUGACAUCAAUAUGAUCAUGGCUGACCAUCCAAAGUCAGUACCCCAUUCUGUUGUUCCCCAUAUCCAUUGAUUCCAUUAGCACUAAGAGCUAUAUCUAACUCUCUUGAAAACAUCCAAUGAAUUGCCUCCACUAUCUUUGGUGGCAGAGAAUUCCACAGAUUCACAAUGCUCUGGGUGAAAAGGUUUUUCCUCACCUCAGUCCUAAAUGGCCUAUCCCUUAUUCUUAAACUAUGACCCCUGGUUUUGGACUAGAUCUCAAAUUCCAUUUUUCAUAUCAUCUGGGCUUUCCAACAUUCUUGCUAUUGAGGGAAUGCAGAGUAGGUUCACGAGGUUAAUUCCCGGGAUGGCAGGACUGUCAUAUGUUGACAGAAGAGAGAUCGAGAUACUGUCCAUAUAGUGCCAGCGCAAUAACCUGGCCCUCAACACCAGCAAAACCAAGGAACUGAUUGUGGACUUUGGAAGGAGUAGGAGGGGGACCCACAGCCCCAUUUAUAUCAAUGGGUCGAUGGUUGAAAGGGUCAAGAGCUUCAAAUUCCUGGGCGUGCACAUCUCUGAAGAUCUUUCCUGGUCCGAGAACACUAAUGCAAUAAUCAAGAAAGCUCAUCAGCGCCUCUACUUCCAGAGAAGAUUACGGAGAGUCGGUUUGUCAAGGAAGACUCUCUCUAACUUCUACAGGUGUACAGUAGAGAGCAUGCUGACCGGUUGCAUCGUGGCUUGGUUCGGCAACUUGAGCGCCCUGGAGAGGAAAAGACUACAAAAAGUAGUAAACACUGCCCAGUCCAUCAUCGGCUCUGACCUUCCUUCCAUCGAGGGGAUUUAUCGCAGUCGCUGCCUCAAAAAGGAUGGCAGUAUCAUCAAAGACCCACACCAUCCUGGCCACACACUCAUCUCCCUGCUACCUUCAGGUAGAAAGUACAGGAGCCUGAAGACUGCAACAACCAGGUUCAGGAAUAGCUACUUCCCCACAGCCAUCAGUCUAUUAAACCUGGCUCGGACAAAACUCUGAUUAUUAAUAACCAAUUUUCUGUUAUUUGCACUUGAUCAGUUUAUUUAUUCAUGUGUGUAUAUAUUUAUAUCAUGGUACAUGGACACACUUAUCUGUUCUGUUGUAAAUGCCUACUAUGUUCUGUGUGCUGAAGCAAAGCAAGAAUGUAAUUGUCUUAUACAGGGACACAUGACAAUAAACUCACUUGAACUUGAACUUGAAUGGAGCGGCUGGGCUUGUAUACUCUGGAAUUUAGACGGAUGAGAAGGGAUGUUAUUGAAACAUAUAAGAUUAUUAAGGAUUUGGACAUGCUAGAGGCAGGAAACAUCUUCCCGAUGUUGGGAGAGUCCAGAACCAGGGCCACAGUUUAAGAAUAAGGGGUAAGCCAUUUAGAACAGAUAUGAGGAAAAACUUUUUCACACAGUUGUGAAUCUGUGGAAUUCUCUGCCUCAGGAGGCAGUGGAGGCCAAUUCUCUGGAGGCUUUCAAGAGUGAGUUAGAUAGAUCUCUUAAAGAUAGAGGAGUGAGGGGAUAUGGGGAGAAGGCAGGAACGGGGUACUGAUUGUGGAUAAUCAGACAUGAUCACAGUGAAUGGUGGUGCUGGCUCAAAGGGCCGAAUGGCCUACUCCUGCACCUAUUGUCUAUUGUCCCCCAACAUCGGGAACAUUUUUCCUGCAUUUAACUAAUGCUUCUUCUGUAUUAGAAACCAGAGACUGCUGAAAUAUACAAAACUACCAGAAUUUAACAAGUAC